rnacentral:lncRNA from 1 species
GGUCUUACAAUCAUCCAAGUCCUAGAUGAAGGCGGCGGCGGCGACAUCAACUAUUUUUCUUCUGAACAUCAUAGAAUCUCAUAACUCUACAAUGCAGCACUCCCGAACUGCAGGUGAGCUGUGCUCAAGCUUAGGGGGGAGCCUAAUCGCAGGAGGCAAAAGAGGGGGAGCCCCAUGAGAAGUGGAUGUGCCGGCCCGCCUAGCUCUCUCCCUUUCACAGGCUAAGUACCUCUGACGGGCAUCCCUUGCAAUGGCAUUCCACUAUCUCAUUCGGUUCUUAAUUAAUUCUAAAGGUGGC